UGAUAAAUACCCACCAUUUGCUUCAAUGUGGAUAGAACUGGAGACUAUUAUGCUGAGUGAGUGUUGAGAAGAGAACAUUAGCCAACUCAGCAAUGUUGCUUGUAAGAGGUGAAUUUACAAGGACUACCUGAGAGGAGAGGUUGGAGACUGAUUGGAACCCCAGGGAUGAAGAGGAGAUGCUUCAAGGUUACCUUAGAUGUGUGAGGCGUCAGAAUUUGAGUGGGAUCAGACACCUCCCAUAUCACUCUCAUGCCCACUUUUCAGCUUGAUCCACAUGGAUUCCAUGUUCUCUAUUAGGAUUUGGACUAAUAUGUCUUUCGAAGAAUGGAUUUCAUGGCUCUAGGUCUAUACCUAUGAGAAAAACUGUGAUCUAGAUCAAGAGUUGGUAAAAUUUUCUGUAAAAGGCCAGAUAAUAAAUAUUUGAAAUUUUGUAGGUUA